GAUGAACGCUGGCGGCGUGCCUAAUACAUGCAAGUCGAGCGAACGGAUAAGGAGCUUGCUCCUUUGAAGUUAGCGGCGGACGGGUGAGUAACACGUGGGUAACCUACCUAUAAGACUGGAAUAACUUCGGGAAACCGGAGCUAAUGCCGGAUAACAUUUGGAACCGCAUGGUUCUAAAGUAAAAGAUGGUUUUGCUAUCACUUAUAGAUGGACCCGCGCCGUAUUAGCUAGUUGGUAAGGUAACGGCUUACCAAGGCAACGAUACGUAGCCGACCUGAGAGGGUGAUCGGCCACACUGGAACUGAGACACGGUCCAGACUCCUACGGGAGGCAGCAGUAGGGAAUCUUCCGCAAUGGACGAAAGUCUGACGGAGCAACGCCGCGUGAGUGAUGAAGGUUUUCGGAUCGUAAAACUCUGUUAUUAGGGAAGAACAAAUGUGUAAGUAACUGUGCACAUCUUGACGGUA
rnacentral:rRNA from 1 species